UACGUAGGGUGCGAGCGUUAAUCGGAAUUACUGGGCGUAAAGCGUGCGCAGGCGGUUUUGUAAGUCAGAUGUGAAAUCCCCGGGCUUAACCUGGGGAACUGCGUUUGAAACUACAAGGCUAGAGUGUGGCAGAGGGGGGUGGAAUUCCACGGUGUAGCAGUGAAAUGCGUAGAGAUGUGGAGGAACACCGAUGGCGGAAGGCAGCCCCCUGGGUUAACACUGACGCUCAGGCACGAAAGCGUGGGGAGCAAACAGG
rnacentral:rRNA from 1 species